UCCAGACAUUAUCCUGAGGUCUUCACCACACCACCUGACCUUCUCUUUGCAGUAAAAUCCAGCUAUUAUAAAACAUCUUAACCUCUAAGAGGUUAAGCAGGCAAGCUUACAGUAAAUCCAGAAACAUUCGGGAAGAACAUAUCCAUCACCUGCACGACACUGCUAAUCUCCCAGUACAUAAUUGACAGCUUAAGUGGAGAGAACAGCAUGACGCUCACUGCAGAACAGCAACAACAACAGCAAAUAUUUAAAGGACUUGCUGGGAAAUGGUUGCAUUUAAUAUGCCUGAGAUCUUGUUCUUUUCUGAGAGGAAAGCAGACCCAUGAUCUUGGUCUCUUACAGAGCGACAACUUAGAGGAUUAAAGGAAUCUGCUGAGGACUUUGCUUCUGCUAAAAAUGUCGUCAUAGAAAUGGGCUCCACAGUAAGUACUGUAGUGGCACAAAAGUAUGGUACAGGCAGAGGGUUGCAACAUAAUACAUUUAAAAUUGAUUUUGGAAGGCAUUUUUUGUUAAAAAUAGAGGUGUUCUAGAACCUAAUAUAAGUGUCAUCCAAAAGAGAGAAUAAAGCAGAUCAAUGUCCGCUCA
rnacentral:lncRNA from 1 species